GAUGUCUCAGCCUAGGUUGUGGUCCCUAGGCUGCUUACAUCUAAAUGGAGUCCCUGCUGGACCUGUAGACUCCGAAAGGCCCACCCCAGAUCUAAGGGCACACAAGAACCACCAUUUAUGCAUGCCAGAAAAAUCCCACCAUCUUGACAUUGCAGAAAAAUCCCGCCAUCUUGACAUGGUUCUUGCGCAUAUCUUUUAAGCCAGCUGGUCU
rnacentral:lncRNA from 9 species